ensembl:lncRNA
CCCAAAACUCGUUCCAGGCCUGCAACCAGAUUAGCAUAUUAAUGAGGCUGUAAUUUCCCCGGAAUUGUCUGCACAUCUAUGCCCGCUCACAGCACACUGGCCCAGGAGUUUGCUAUGCAAAUAAACUGGUUUUACAGGCUGUGGCUUAAUUAACUCAUCAAGUUCAUCUUCCUAACAAAAAAGGCAGACUAACUGCGGAUUAAUGGACCUGUGUUUGCUCUGCUUUCUCUCUCCCUGGUCCUGCUCACUCCCCACAGCACCCGCUCCCUCCAAGCCUCCCGCUCCUGGCCGACGCCUGUCCUCGGAGGAGAUAAAUCCUGGCAAAAGAGAUGGGGGGACAUUAAUACUGCUUCCAGCAGAGUCUGGGAGGUUUUCUCAUCGACUUCAAGGGGAAUAAGAUGGAUCAGGCCUAAAGGAUGGUAAUUACGCCUCCAGUUGAAGCUGGCAGGUGACCACUUAUGAGAAGGAGGUGGCACAUUAUGACGCUGUCUCUGUAACGUGGUUGUCCCCGUACAGCUCAGAGCUGGGUCUGGGGACAGAGAUUAAGGCUCAGUGCCCAGGGGAGUGCUGGCAAGCCUGCUCCGUCCCUAACAGCACAGGGUCAGUGCAGAUGAGUGGUGCUGCUGUCCCUCCUGGUUAAUUAGAAAGAUCCUUCUGGGUAGCUAACCAUGCUCAGUGACCCUCUGCCUCCUGAUAAUAAUUAACAAAUAAGUAAACAAACAAACAAACAAACAAACAAAUAAAUAAAUGUAAGGAUUCACAGAGUUGCUAGAAGGAAGUUCAUACAGCCCAAAGGCUGCAUUCAGCAGCAAAGCACUGGACUGGAGGGAUCUUUGAACAUUAACAUCAUUGUGCAUUUAUUUCCUCCCCUUUUCCCUGUUUUUUCCAUUCUCUCCCUUCACUGUGGGAAGCAGAUCUCUGCAGGAUCCAGGUAGCCCUUAGCACAGAGCCAAGGGUGGCAUCCUGUCACCCUGUUCCCCCACCUGCACAGCAUGUUCUCAGCACUCAGCUCUAUGACAUGUCUGCACCUCUCCUGGUGCCAAGUUCUGGAGCCUUCACUUGGCCAAAAAGCAGACCUCUGUCAGUCACAGCUGGCUUGGAAUGGACUGAAGUUGAAGCUUUUUUUCACCAAAGUUGUUUUAAACUGGACAAAGUCCUUGAAAAUCUAACUGUACUCAGAAGCUUUUCUGCAUUCACAGGGAAAUGGACUGGCUGACCUAAAAGGUCUUUUCCAUCUCUAAUUUCUGUGGCUGUGUGAUUCAUCCCUCUUCUUUGAAAGUGUUUCCUACAUGAAAUGUCUAGUAGAAGGAAAAAAUGAUACUAAAUAAUCUUUUUUCAUUUCCUCUCAUCAUUGUCAGAGAUUAUGAGAGGUGAGGGAUAUGUCUGUUGUGACAUUAGCCAAGCAGUGGAACAGAAAAGGCAAACCAGGAUCCAGCUUAGCAGCCAAGAAAGAGACAAUUCACUCGGGGUAGAAUAGGAGGAAAUGUGCUGUGGGCAUCCUUUUCAGCAGUGCCAAUGGUCCUUCCUUCCUCAGACCCUGAGAAACCCCACAUGGGAGAAAUGCAAACCUCUUACAGAGGAGAGCAGUGCCUGGCUGAGCAGCAGAGCGGGGCGAGGGCUGGAGCAGCUCCCUGGGAUGUUCUCCCAGGCACUGCAAGGCACCCAAGUCAGCUGUGCUCUCAGUGCUUCUACCGUGUCACCAGGAGUUUCCCUACUGCUAGCUGGUCCAGCUUCCUCUUAAUCCACUAAGCUCCUCCAGCCAGGAGUUGCACGGAUAACUCCCUGCAAGGAGAAACAGCUGCUUUGGCUUGUUUUAAAUCUUACUGGUACCACCUUCACUCAAGGAUGCGAGUGCAUUUUUAGGUCUGUGUUGGUCUCCUGGGAGCUGUUUCACGUGGGGAAUAGAGCUGAGGGGUGAACAUCCCAGUCCCUGUGCUGGGGGAGCUGCCCUACCCCUGGGGGCCCCACAUCAUCCAGUCCCAGGAUCAUUGAAUCUUUGUGUCGAGGUUAUCCUAUGGAUAAUGGGGUGGCACUGCCUCUCCUCCUGCACGGCAGUGCUGCUGUCCCCAGAACUGAGUGGAGACCAAAGGGACAAACCCCUGUGCAGGUAACCCUGGAGCUGAUCUCAGGCCAUUUACCACCAAUCUGGAGAUGUGAAUAACAGUCUUUAGAAGUCACACCAGCAGUGUCUGAAGAUUUUUUGUGUGUGUGAUAGAACUUUUAAUUCUUUUUAUUUCAUUGAUCUACUGGAUUUUCUUUUCCUCUUAAUUUUUUUCUUUCUCUUUGAAUUUUUUGUUUCAUUUCCUGAAAGCAGGAGAAAUAAUGUAAGCCAAAGCCCCUUGCUGCCUCACCUUUUUGCUGCAGAAUGCAUGUAUGCAGAUUUCUCAAAACAAAGACUUCAGUUUGCUGUAUCUCAUAGUCAGGAAAUAACUCCAAACACCAACAUCUCCCAGAUACCAUUCCCACCCACAGGAAUCCUUCUCAAGAUGGACAUUCCAGGACACUGAUUUUUUUUUUUCCUUUCUUUUAUGCAGUCACCACUUCAACAAAAGGGGGACAGCAUUUUCCUCACAUGUACCAGAAGGGAGUGUGGGAGAAGGGGGACACUCUGGAAGACCCAGUAGUGUGAAGCUGGAUCUCCGCAAGACAAACCUUGGAAUAAAAAGUCCUCUUUCACAAUUUACAAGGAGAAUGAUGAAUCCAAGGGCAGCAGCAACUUCUUUGGUGUGAGCCCUGAGCCCAGGCCAGUGGUGUUGGGUGGGGAGGUGCCAGGCAGGAUGCUGAGAUCGCCAAAUUACCAGGCUGAGUUCAGCGGGUGAGCCUCUGUGGCUGGCACUCUGCGGGAGGUCAGGCUGCGCCAUAGGCAGGGUCCCUUCUGGCCCUAAAAUCUAUGAAUGUAUUGAUGCUCUGAGGCUGAAAAAGCAGCAGCUGCUCCUAUGCAGCACCUAGUUCUCAUAAGCAUUUGGAAUAAUGGAUCCAUAUUGUGCCAAUGCAUACUAAUGUUAAUAUACAUUUGCAGCGCACAAUGUGAUGGCUUUGGAGACACCCAGGUGUCAGAUUGAAUCAGUGUCAGUGACACACUGUACCAGGACUUUGCAGCAGGUCCCUGUUGGCUUCUCCAGCGGGAAGCUAUCGCUUCUUUGAAAUUAUUGUGUUUAUCCCUUAUGUUUCUGGAGGAAAAAAAAAAACACAUAAAUUGUCCCCAGCCCGCUGCAGGUCUGUGGUCCGCAGCUUGUGGCCAGCCAAAGCCUGGUUUUCAAAGGGUUUGAGGGAAACAAAGCGAGAUGCUGUGUGAGGAGUGACCACAGAGCUGUGAGAUGAAGCUCCUGUGUUCUCUGCUGUUCUCCUCACCAGUGCAAGGAAACUGUGAGACAGGGCAAGUUCUGCUCUCAGCAGCAUCCAUACAGUCCCUGCUGCAGCCCAAACCAUCUGCAAGCCAAAAACCUGAUCUGCCUCUGCUGGAUCUCAUCCCCAAUGGCUUUCAGAUGCAGAAUCAGGUUCAGACUGCAGAGAGAACACAGCCUCUGAUUGAUGCCAUGAGUUUGGGGAGCUGGGGCACAGAGGAACAUGCUCACUCCUCAGCCUCGUGCCAUCUGUACCCAGGAGCUAGCUGUGUGCAUGAACAUGUGGGCAGAAGAACACUGGGUUUCAUGAGCAGAGCCAGGGCUGCAUGGAGUUCCAAGGGAAGGUUGUGCUCCCCUGGCCUCACCUGUAUUGUUUAUGCUGGAUGUAUAUGUGUGCAUUGCCAUCACAUUUGUAUAUACCCAUAGAGAUACUUCAUCUUUUCAUAACAAGCCUGCAUCAGCCUUGCCUGUAUUCCCUACCCAAAUCCACUCAAGCUUACACGAGCCCAUAUGGGAGGCUGCCCAAAACAUCAUUUGUUUACAGUAACAUAAUAAAGCAGAGCACCGCCCAACAAACUCUCUUGUUUGAACGCCUGUUAUUGCCUUUGCUAAUCCGCUGAACCAGACUGCACUGGAGAUGAGGGAACAUUGUCACUAACUAGGCACUGCAAAAGUUGAGGCCAUUCCAUACUGGGACUCACCUGCUGAGUGCCCAGGAUGCUCCUUGAGGUGCCUCUGCCUCACCAAGCACCUCUGAGGCCCAAUGCCACACGCUGCUCACACAGCUCAGCUGACCUCUGUGGGCAGCCCUGUCUACGCCAGCUGGAAGAAGUUGCUUCCCAUGGAAAUGCUGAACUUGCCCGUCCCAUGCUGUUUUUUGUCUUGCUCCAGAAAGAUAUAUAUAUAUAUGAGAAUCAUUUAAAGAAAAUGGAAAGCAACCAAUCAACUGCUUCCCCAGCCCACACGGACUGCUCUGCUCUCCUUCUCCCCUGGCCCAUGGCACAUUGGCACACUGGUACUGACAUGGGAUCACACUGAGGUGGACUGCUUUUAUGUCUCUGGAAUGGUUAUGGAGAGGAGACAGUUCCUCUUUCAUGGGGGCUGGGGGAGAGGGGAAGAGAGAAGUGAAAAGAAAUGUGUCCCUGUGCCCAGGUGACAGUGAUGGCCCAAACAUGUUGAUGAUCCAGCCUACUCCCUAUCCUGGGGGCAAUGCAAGGGAAGGAGUAUCUCUGCAGAAGAGAUAGGAUGAUUCUGAGCAUCAUUUUUCCAUGACACUCGUGUCUUUUCAUUCAUGACUUUUUUUCUUGGAUACCAUAUAUUGGGGGCAGGGGCUGUGCCUGCCCGCCCCACCAAUGACAGUUUGGUUUCCAGCUUUAAUCAUAGCCACUGAGCUGAGUAAGAACACCACAGUGAGAUGCUGCCAGCAGCUAUCCUGGAUCCAGUGUCUGGAGCUGGUGGUUUAUCCAGGAGGCAAAGCUUGGCUUGCACUGGAGUGAAGUUGUUAAUGCUUCCACAGCACCGGGGAGACAGGGAGGCUCCAAUGAAUGUCUCCUAAUUAUAUCAUCAUGUUUGCAAAAUUUCUGUGCUUUCUGGCAAACAUACCUUUCUGUGGGAGGAGGGAAUGUGAUGGGAAAAGGAGGGGAUAAUGGAAAGGGAGACAGAGAGAUCAGUACUGAAUGUGAAAUAAGAGAAUAAAAUGAGAAAUAGUGAAUGCAAAAAAGGACGUGCUAGAAAAGAAGAAAGAGAGAGGGGGAAGGAAAGAAGGGAAGAAAGAAAGGAACGAAGGAAAAAAGGAAGAAAGGAAGAAAGGGAGAAAGAAAAGAAGGGAGAGAGGAAGGAAGAAAGGAUGAGAGGAAGGGAGGAAGGGAGGAAGGGAGGAAGGAAGAAAGAAAGAAAGAAGGAAAGAAAGAAGGAAAGAAAGAAAGAGAGAAAGAAAGAGAGAAAGAGAGAAAGAAAGAGAGAAAGAAAGAAAGAAAAAGAGAAAGAGAGAAAGAGAGAAAGAGAGAAAGAGAGAAAGAGAGAAAGAGAGAAAGAGAGAAAGAGAGAAAGAGAGAAAGAGAGAAAGAGAGAAAGAAAGAAAGAAAGAAAGAAAGAAAGAAAGAAAGAAAGAAAGAAAGAAAGAAAGAAAGAAAGAAAGAAAGAAAGAAAGAAAGAAAGAAAGAAAGAAAGAAGGAAAGAAAGAAAGAAAGAAAGAAAAAAAUGAGAAGAAAGAAAAAAUGGAAAAAAAUAAAGGAAGAAAAAAAGAAAAAAGAAAUUGAGACAGGAAAAAAAAAAAAGAAGUAAAACAGAACGGGGAAGAGUGAGAAAGCUGAAGAACGAAAAAAAAAAAGGAGAGGGGUCGGGGGGAAACAGCGGGCUAUGCGAUGCCUGGUGCCCGCGGCGUGAGGCGCGGACGAGGGCCGGGGCAGCUCGGGUCGCUCUUUUCAGCACCCUGGAUAGCUCUGGGGCCGCCAGCGGUGCCGCGCACAGAGCGAGGGCGCGGUGAGGGCUCG